UCUGGUCCUUUUGUGCCCGCCGCCGCGGUAAUACGGAAGGUCCGGGCGUUAUCCGGAUUUCUUGGGUUUAAAGGGAGCGUAGGCCGGAGAUUAAGCGUGUUGUGAAAUGUAGACGCUCAACGUCUGCACUGCAGCGCGAACUGGUUUCCUUGAGUACGCACAAAGUGGGCGGAAUUCGUGGUGUAGCGGUGAAAUGCUUAGAUAUCACGAAGAACUCCGAUUGCGAAGGCAGCUCACUGGAGCGCAACUGACGCUGAAGCUCGAAAGUGCGGGUAUCGAACAGG
rnacentral:rRNA from 1 species